rnacentral:rRNA from 1 species
UACAGAGGGGGCAAGCGUUGUUCGGAAUUACUGGGCGUAAAGGGCGCGUAGGCGGCCUUCUAAGUCGAACGUGAAAUCCCUGGGCUCAACCCAGGAACUGCGUCCGAUACUGGAAGGCUUGAAUCCGGAAGAGGGAUGCGGAAUUCCAGGUGUAGCGGUGAAAUGCGUUGAGAUCGGAAGGAACGCCCGCGGCGAAAGCGAGCUCCUGGACGUCUGCUGACGCUGAGACGCGAAAGCCAGGGGAGCGAACGGG